AAUCAACGCUGGCGGCGUGCCUCAGACAUGCAAGUCGAACGCGAAAGUCCCCUUCGGGGAUGAUUAGAGUGGCGCACGGGUGAGUAACACGUAGGUAAUCUACCUUCGAGUGGGGAAUAACUCAGGGAAACUUGAGCUAAUACCGCAUAAUGCAGCGGCACCACAUGGUGACAGUUGUUAAAGCAUUUAUGCGCUUGAAGAGGAGCCUGCGGCGGAUAGCUAGUUGGUAAGGUAAUGGCUUACCAAGGCUACGAUCUGUAACCGGCCUGAGAGGGCGGACGGUCACACUGACACUG
rnacentral:rRNA from 1 species